rnacentral:rRNA from 1 species
GACGAACGCUGGCGGCGUGCUUAACACAUGCAAGUCGAACGGAAAGGCCCUGCUUGCAGGGUACUCGAGUGGCGAACGGGUGAGUAACACGUGGGUGAUCUGCCCUGCACUUCGGGAUAAGCCUGGGAAACUGGGUCUAAUACCGGAUAGGAGCCAUUUUUAGUGUGAUGGUUGGAAAGUUUUUUCGGUGUAGGAUGAGCUCGCGGCCUAUCAGCUUGUUGGUGGGGUAAUGGCCUACCAAGGCGGCGACGGGUAGCCGGCCUGAGAGGGUGGACGGCCACAUUGGGACUGAGAUACGGCCCAGACUCCUACGGGAGGCAGCAGUGGGGAAUAUUGCACAAUAGGCGCAAGCCUGAUGCAGCGACGCCGCGUGGGGGAUGACGGCCUUCGGGUUGUAAACUCCUUUCGCUAGGGACGAAGCUUUUGUGACGGUACCUAGAUAAGAAGCACCGGCCAACUACGUG